rnacentral:misc_RNA from 1 species
AAGUCGUAACAAGGUUUCCGUAGGUGAACCUGCGGAAGGAUCAUUACCUUUCUGGCUAUUUAAUAGCUUGUUUAGGGGGCUGUAGUUUCUGCAGUCUCUGCUAAUCCGUGUUUUUUUGCGUACUACAGUUUCCUCGGUGGGCUUGCUCCCGGUUGGACAAAACUAAAAACUCUUUUGCAAUUGCAAUCAGCGUCUGAAAUUAUAUAAAUAAUUACAA